AGUGAACGCUGGCGGUAGGCCUAACACAUGCAAGUCGAACGGCAGCACAGUAAGAGCUUGCUCUUACGGGUGGCGAGUGGCGGACGGGUGAGGAAUACAUCGGAAUCUACUUUUUCGUGGGGGAUAACGUAGGGAAACUUACGCUAAUACCGCAUACGACCUACGGGUGAAAGCAGGGGAUCUUCGGACCUUGCGCGAUUGAAUGAGCCGAUGUCGGAUUAGCUAGUUGGCGGGGUAAAGGCCCACCAAGGCGACGAUCCGUAGCUGGUCUGAGAGGAUGAUCAGCCACGCUGGGACGGGGACACGGUCCAGACCCCUACGGGAGGCAGCAGUGGGGAAUAUUGGCCAAUGGGCGCAAGCCUGAUCCAGCCAUACCGCGUGGGUGAAGAAGGCCUUCGGGUUGUAAAGCCCUUUUGUUGGGAAAGAAAAGCAGCAGGUUAAUACCCCGCUGUUCUGACGGUACCCAAAGAAUAAGCACCGGCUAACUUCGUGC
rnacentral:rRNA from 1 species